rnacentral:lncRNA from 1 species
AAGACUCGUUUUAGGGAUCCUGUAUUUUAACAUAAAUUAAAUCACAGAAUCGUCAUUGAACUUCGAUGGCAUUGCACCCUUAAUGUUAGCCUACUAAGGACCAUUACCCUACAUGCAACGACACUUAUUAAUUUUCGUGCGAUAUAGGAUUUCGGGACGUACGAUAGGUAAACAUAUAAUACCACCAGGUGAAAGGAGAUAACUCUAUCGGCAAAAUAUACUAAAUAUAGGGAAGAUAGAAGAAAAACAUACCCCUAAAAACAAAACAAAAAAGGCGCCCACAAUUGUCAAAACAAAUAACAAUAUUUCAUUAUAUAACCAAAGAAAAUACCAAUGCAAAUACAUUGUCCACUUCCCCGAGAAAAAAUUAGAAAAAAUAGAAAAAAACAAAUUCUUCCUUAAUUCAAUGUUUGCAACGCCCACAAUAAUAAAAUGAAGAAAAAUAUGACCUUCAUACUAUGUCAUAUACAGGUGCGCAUUUAAUAACUUGUAAAUCACCGCCUGUCCCUGGGUAAUAUUCAUGAUCACCUUGUGAUGUGUCUAUACACCGGAGUUUCUUUUAUGGAACCGUUUUUAUAGUGUAUGAUUGCGUUUUGGUACUUAACAUUCAUGAAAUAUUAGCCACUGAACUUCUAUGCGUUUAUCUCCAAAGCAUGUUGUGUGUUUAAACGUCAUUAUGAAAUCCACAACAAUAACCCCCUCCCAC